rnacentral:tRNA from 1 species
UCCCUGAAAGUCCAGUGGUUAAGACUUGGUGCUUUCACUGCUAUGGCCGAGGUUCAAUCCCCAGUUGGGGAA